rnacentral:rRNA from 1 species
GGCGGCGCGCCUAACACAUGCAAGUCGAACGAGAAAGUGGAGCAAUCCAUGAGUACAGUGGCGUACGGGUGAGUAACACGUGGGUAAUCUACCUUUUAGUGAGGAAUAACCAAGGGAAACUUUGGCUAAUACCGCAUAAGCCCUGAUCAUAAAGAGGAUGGGGAAAGCAGAAAUGCGCUGAAAGAGGAGCCCGCGGCCGAUUAGCUAGUUGGUAGGGUAAGAGCCUACCAAGGCAGAGAUCGGUAGCCGGCCUGAGAGGGCACACGGCCACACUGGCACUGAAACACGGGCCAGACUCCUACGGGAGGCAGCAGUGGGGAAUCUUGCACAAUGGGGGAAACCCUGAUGCAGCGACGCCGCGUGAGCGAUGAAGCCCUUCGGGGUGUAAAGCUCUUUCGGCAGGGAAGAUAGUGACGGUACCUGCAGAAGCAGCUGCGGCUAACUACGUGCCAGCAGCCGCGGUAAUACGUA